GUGAGUAGUUUGAGUGUUUUUUUUUUUUUUUUUAAAUAAAGAAUAAAAAGAAGCCAGGUGUGGUGGCUUACACCUGUAUUCCCAACACUUUGGGAGGCUGAGGCGAGCAGAUCACUUGAGGUCAGGAGUUUGAGACCAGCCUGGCCAACAUGGUGAAACCCCGUCUCUACUAAAAAUACAAAAAAUUAGCUGAGCAUGGUGGGUGGUGCCUGUAAUCCCAACUACUGGGGAGGCCGAGGCAGGAGAAUCACUUCAACUCAGAAGGUAGAGGUUGCAGUGAGCCAAGAUCGCACCACUGUACUCCAGCCUGGGUGACAGAGCAAGACCCUGUCUCAAAAAGAAAAAAAAAAUUUGUUUCAUUUGUUUUGUUAGCCAUUUUUUUUAACCACGGGAGUGGGAAGAAGAAAACAAAAGGCACUUUGAUUAUUAAAAAUUUCUAUUUUGUCUGGGCACAGUGGCUCAGGCCUAUAAUCCCAGCACUUUGGGAGGCUGAAGCAGGAAGAUCACUUGAAGCCAGGAGUUUGAGAUCAGCCUAGGCAACAUAGUGAGACCCCAUCUCUACAAAAUAAACAAAAAUUAAAAUUAGCCAAGCAUAGUGGCAUGUGUCUGUAGUCCCAGCUACUCUGGAGGCUGAGGUAGGAGCAUUGCUUAAGCCUGGGAGAUAGAGGCUGCUGUGAGUCAUGAUCGCACCACUGCACUCCAGCCUGUGUGACAGAGCAAAACCCUGUCUCAAAAAAAAAAAAAAAAAAAAAGUAUCUCAUUUUGUUCUUAAGGACCCCACACAAGCAAAACUCAGAGAUGGAACAUUUAUCAAUGAGUUUUCAUGGCCCAAAUAAGAGAAAGAGAAGAGAAAGAAGGGGCCAUGUCCCAGGAGCCCUUGCAACUGUCAUCAUUAGCUCUGUCCUUGUUUGUGUUUUUAUUGCCUGUCUUCCCCCUGUAAAAGAAGCCAUAGGACAGAAGAGGCCUUGGCCCUUUUGUUUACUGCUCUGCCUCCCAGGCCCACAACAUUGCCUUGCCAAUAGUAAGGAUGCAAUAAACAUUUGUAGAGUAAAAAUGAUUUUGAACUCAGUUUUGAAUCAAAGUUCUAGGACAUACUAUUUACCUGCUGUCUGAAUCUGCUAGGGUUGCCAUAAUAAAGUACCACAAACUGAGUUGCUUCAAUAACAGAAAUGUAUUCUCUCGAAGUUCUGGAGGCCAGAAGUCUUCACAUGGUGGCCACUGGUCUCAGAGGCUGUUUUCCUUUUAACCAGCAGCUCAGUGAAGACAGGAGCUGUAUUUUGCUUCUCUCAGUAUCUUUAGUGCCUGGACCCUGGUGGGGCUCAGUGACCUUGGAGGGAGAGGGGACGAGCUUUACGUGCUGAUCAGGAGCACAGGCCUUGGCACCAGGCUGGCCUGCACUGAAAUCCAGCUCUACCAUUUACUAACGUCAUCCAAACCUCUCUGAGCCUCAGUUUUCAAAUAUACAAAAUGGGGACAUUGGUACCACAGACUUCAUCAGAGGUCUGAGAUCAAGAUGUCAGCAGGGUUGGUUCCUUCUGAAGCUGAGAAGGAGAACCUGUUUCUUGCCUCUGCCCUCACUUCUGGGGGUUUGCGGGCAAUCUUUGGCAUUUGUUGCCUUGUAGAAGCAUCACCUCAAUCUCUGCCAUUGUCUUCACAUGAUGUUCUCCCUCUGUGUCUAGGUCCACCUUUCUCCUUUUUUAUAAGGGCACCAGCACAUACAUUUAGGAUUCACUCUAAGGACCUCAUUUUAACUUGAUUACCUCUGAAAAGACACUGUAUCUGAAAAAGGUCACAUGUUAAGAUACUGAGGGUUAGGGCUCCAACGCUUGAAUGUUUAGAGGACAAAGCUCAACCCAUCAUACCUGCUGAUUAGUUUAUUCAUUAGGCUGGGCACAGUGGCUCACACCUAUAAUCCCAGCACUUUGGGAGGCCGAGGUGGGAGGAUCACUUGAGCCUGGGUGGUCGAAGCUGCAGUGAGCUAUGAUCACACCACUGCACUCCAGCCUGGGUGGCAGAGUGAGACCCUGUCUCAAAAAAAAAAAAAAAAGACAUAAACAAUUAUUAAUUAAUUAAAUUUAAAUCUACUCUUAUCACAACAUGUAGCAGGCAUCCCUUAUCUGCUAACUGAUCAAUUAAACACUGGGAGAUUAUAAAGAUGAUCAAAAAAGGUCCCUACCUCCACAGAGCAUAGAGAAGAGAGGCAGAAACAGAACUAGAGGGCUGACUGAGAUCAUCCAAAGAGGACUGGCCCAUAAUAGACCGUGCACAACAGGAGCAAGGCUCCAGCAUGGGCGUAAUUAAUUCUGUGGAUGGGGUCAAGGAGUCUUCACGGAAGAGAUAUGAUAUGGUUUGGCUAUGUCUCCACCCACAUCUCAUCUUGAAUUGUAGCUCCCAUAAUUCCCAUGUGUUGCAGGAGGACCUGGUGGAAGAUAAUUGAAUCAUGGGGCAGUUUCCCCCAUACUGUUCUCAUGAUAGUGAAUAAGUCCACAAGAGUUCUGAUGGUUUUAUAAGGGGAAACCCCUUUCACUUGGCUCUUAUUCUCUCUCUUGUCUGCUGCCGUGUAAGAUGUGCCUUUCGCCUUCCACCAUGAUUGUGAAGCCUCCCCAGCCACGUGGAACUGUGAGUCCAUUAAGCCUCUUUUUUCUUUAUAAAUCACCCAGCCUCGGUAUGUCUUUAUCAGCAGCUUGAAAACAGACUAAUACAAGCUGCCACUUGAGCUGGGCAUUUGCAGGAUAAAGAGGGUGUCCAUGGGUGGAGAAGGGAGAAAGGCCAGUGGACAGUGGGAACAAAGGGGAUAGGCAGGAUGGUGCCGGGCCUUGUAAGGGAGCACUGAGCAGUUCAGUGAGGCUGGGAUGUGAUCAACAUGAAGCCAGGAGGCAAGAGAGACACUGUGGAGUCCCACAUGUGUAUUCCCUGCAGGCCAAGGGAAGCCAAGGCAUGUGGUUGUGGGGAGGAGUGAUUUAGUAAGGUCGCUAGUAGUGCAGGGAGCUGGAGUCCAGAAGAUGACUUCCAAAAAGCCCAGGCUAGAGCUGCUGGGGUAGCUGGAGUAGGAAUGGAAAGAGCCAUGAACUCCAGACUUCUCCAGGGGUAAGCCAGGGCAAGUGGUGAGAAAGGAAGAGGUACAAGGAAUGGACAAGAGGCUGAGUUAGGUGGUGAAUGUGUUGAGUUGAGGCGUCUGGGGUGUCCCAGGUGGAUAUGGCAAGGCAGGAAGAAUUCAGGCGAGAGAACAGGGCUGGACAUGGAGAUUUGAAAAGACAAAUCUCUAGGACAUUACACAUUAUGGGAGAUGAGGACAUUAUCGGAGACAUUAUAGGAGGACAUUAAGGGAGAUGAGGCCACCUGGGGAGAAUGGCGAGCGCUUAGGAAAGGGCUGAGGACAGGGCCCGGGGCCUCAGAGAUAGUGAGCCUCAAUGGUGGCUACACAUGGCUUCAUCUGGAGAGCUCUGAAGUCAUACAGUGAACCAAGGACCAUUCCUGGGGAAUCUGAUUUGUCUGGGAUGGGAAGAAAGAACCAGCAUUGGAAUUUUUAAAAUCAGCAGUUCUCAUAGUUAGCUGCACAUUGGAAUUACCUGGAGAGCCUCAAAAACUUCUGCUGCCUGAUGCCACACCCCGAGAUCCUGAUCUAACUGCUCUGAGGUGAGAAACUGGUGCUCUCAGAGAGCGUAUGAGUGGCCCAAUGUCACACUACCUCUGGGUGUGUGCAUGUGGAGCCAGGAUUUGAUCCUGGGCAGAUCAAACCCCAAGUGCCACCAGGUGCAGUCGAUCACAUGCUGACCCCCCACUUUACUGAUGAGAAAACUGAGACCUAGAGAGGUUGAGUAACCUGUCCAAGACACCUGGAUGAUAAGCCGGACCCAGCCAACAAGCCCAGCCAGCUUGAUGCCAGAAUCCUCUUACCUGACCUCUGUGCCUGCCAUCCCAGCUGCUAGAGUGGAGAGCCGGCCUUUCCUCGCUGCAGGAUGGACCCUAGGCCUCUCUCUGGGUUUCCAGAUCCUGCUCUGAAGAGCCGGCCUUUCCUCGCUGCAGGAUGGACCCUAGGCGUCUCUCUGGGUUUCCAGAUCCUGCUCUGGAGAGCCGGCCUUUCCUCGCUGCAGGAUGGACCCUAGGCGUCUCUCUGGGUUUCCAGAUCCUGCUCUGGAGAGCCGGCCUUUCCUCGCUGCAGGAUGGACCCUAGGCGUCUCUCUGGGUUUCCAGAUCCUGCUCUGGAGAGCCGGCCUUUCCUCGCUGCAGGAUGGACCCUAGGCCUCUCUCUGGGUUUCCAGAUCCUGCUCUGGAGAGCCGGCCUUUCCUCGCUGCAGGAUGGACCCUAGGCGUCUCUCUGGGUUUCCAGAUCCUGCUCUGAAGAUGAGGAGAUGACAUUUAGCACCAGCCUUCUCUAACUGGCUCUAAGAGGAAUCGGUGUUCCCUGGUGGUUCAGGAGUCAAAAGGGCCAACUGUAGCUUUAUUCCUCUUUCAAAGGAAAUAAAGCAGAGGUCCUAUUUGGGGAUAGGCCCUAUGCCUGAGUUACUUUGGCACUUAAUUGCUAUUAUUUAAUUGCUGUAUUGGGGAGCACAAAGUGAUCUACUGCAAAGUUAUUAGCAAAUUCUAGUUUUAAGGAAAUAAUUACUGAAUUCUCCCUCCCUGGGUUGAGUAAUUCCUUCCAAGAUGCUCAGCGACAUUAAGCAUUUUCACUAGGGCCACUAGCAGCUCUGUAAUAUGCAAAUAAAGUAACUCUGUAAUUACCAAUAAAAUGCUUACUGAAG
rnacentral:lncRNA from 1 species